GACUUAAAAUGAUGUGGAGGAAAGUGGUAUAAAAGGAUUUACAUGUUAUGGAUAUUGAUGCGGAUUUGAUGUCUAAUAGAGGUGAAUUACGAAAAAGGAUUCAUACAGUUAACCCUAACGAGUUUGGGAUUAAGGCUGGCUUCUUGUUGUUGUGAUGUUGGUCGGAUUGGGACAAAUAAGUAUUUGAAAACAUGCUGUUAGAUUAAGAAACAAAGAAUUUUUUGCUUAUGUGUUAUAUGUUUAGUAUAAAACAUGUCUAUAGUGAUUGAAUUUGCGUGAUUUUUGAUAGAGAUGAUCACUGAGAUGUUAGGAAUAUUGUGUCAAACAACAACCACAACAAUUAAGUUUUAAUCCCAAACUAAUUGGUGUUAGCUAUGUGGAUCAUUUUUGGUUAUUUAAUUCUGU
rnacentral:misc_RNA from 1 species